AACGCACCUUGCGCCCCUUGGUAUUCCGAGGGGCAUGCCUGUUUGAGUGUCAUUAAAUUCUCAACUCCGAUUUGAUUUGUUUCUUAUCGGAGCUUGGACUUUGGAGCGUGCUGGCGUAAGGUCGGCUCCUCUUAAAUGUAUCAGCGGAAUCUAACCUUUGGAUUCUGGACAUCGGUGUGAUAAUAAAAGUUGCGCCGUCGUUCUACUUCAAAGUCCGCUUACAAUGGUCUUUUGACAAACUCUUAUCAAAUUUGACCUCAAAUCAGGUAGGACUACCCGCUGAACUUAA
rnacentral:misc_RNA from 2 species